rnacentral:rRNA from 1 species
AGCUAGUUGGUGAGGUAACGGCCCACCAAGGCGACGAUCGGUAGCCGGACUGAGAGGUUGAACGGCCACAUUGGGACUGAGACACGGCCCAGACUCCUACGGGAGGCAGCAGUGGGGAAUAUUGCGCAAUGGGGGAAACCCUGAUGCAGCGACGCCGCGUGGAGGAAGAAGGUCUUCGGAUUGUAAACUCCUGUUGUUGAGGAAGAUAAUGACGGUACUCAACAAGGAAGUGACGGCUAACUACGUGCCAGCAGCCGCGGUAAAACGUAGGUCACAAGCGUUGUCCGGAAUUACUGGGUGUAAAGGGAGCGCAGGCGGGAAGACAAGUUGGAAGUGAAAUCCAUGGGCUUAACCCAUGAACUGCUUUCAAAACUGUUUUUCUUGAGUAGUGCAGAGGUAGGCGGAAUUCCCGGUGUAGCGGUGGAAUGCGUAGAUAUCGGGAGGAACACCAGUGGCGAAGGCGGCCUACUGGGCACCAACUGACGCUGAGGCUCGAAAGUGUGGGUAGCAAACAGGAUUAGAUACCCUGGUAGUCCACACUGUAAACGAUGAUUACUAGGUGUUGGAGGAUUGACCCCUUCAGUGCCGCAGUUAACACAAUAAGUAAUCCACCUGGGGAGUACGACCGCAAGGUUGAAACUCAAAGGAAUUGACGGGGGCCCGCACAAGCAGUGGAGUAUGUGGUUUAAUUCGACGCAACGCGAAGAACCUUACCAAGUCUUGACAUCCUGCGACGCACAUAGAAAUAUGUGUUUCCUUCGGGACGCAGAGACAGGUGGUGCAUGGUUGUCGUCAGCUCGUGUCGUGAGAUGUUGGGUUAAGUCCCGCAACGAGCGCAACCCUUAUGGUCAGUUACUACGCAAGAGGACUCUGGCCAGACUGCCGUUGACAAAACGGAGGAAGGUGGGGAUGACGUCAAAUCAUCAUGCCCUUUAUGACUUGGGCUACACACGUACUACAAUGGCGUUAAACAAAGAGAAGCAAGACCGCGAGGUGGAGCAAAACUCAGAAACAACGUCCCAGUUCGGACUGCAGGCUGCAACUCGCCUGCACGAAGUCGGAAUUGCUAGUAAUCGCAGAUCAGCAUGCUGCGGUGAAUACGUUCCCGGGCCUUGUACACACCGCCCGUCACACCAUGAGAGCCGGGGGGACCCGUAGUCGGUAGUCUAACCGCAAGGAGGACGCCGCCGAAGGUAAAACUGGUGAUUGGGGUGAAGUCGUAACAAGGUAGCCGUAGGAGAACCUGCGGCUG